UAUUACUGAAAUUAGUGUGCAGAUAUUUCAGCAUAAUUGUUUUUAGUUUUCUUAAUUUGUUGGGUUUAAUCUGCAUUUUAUGAAAGCCCACUGCUUUCAGUAGUUUGUACUUAACUUUUUUCUAAUGUGACUUUAACGGCUUUAGUAGACAAAUUGACCUCAAAGAUGAACUCUCAUCUUUUAAAAAUUUAAUGGGUCUAAGAAAGUACAUUUCAAAAUCAGUUACAUGUUUAGAUCAAAAGAAUAGGGUCAUAAAAUUCCAUUCCUAAUCUAUAGCCAUGUGGUGGUAUAAUUGUAUUCCUCAAAGUGUAUUACAUCUUUUGCCUCCUUCCCAUUGGGGUGACCUGCCUAAGUCCAUUUGUUGUAUUUUUAGCCCAUUUCAAAAAUACUUCCUAUAAGGCUGUUGAUAUGUCAGUUAUGAAAAGGACCUUUUGAAACUUUGAUGAAAGCAAUUUUGUUGCCUAUACCUAUUGAUGUUUUUUUAAGAAUUUCAACAGUCAGCAUAGUAGGAAUGUGAUGUUCUUAGUGAAUCUUGAAUAAGAAAGCUUCUUUCAAGAGUAGGUAAUAGCCUUAUAGGAAGUAUCUUGGCUUUAGAAGUGUUUCCAUAUUCUUUAAAAGGGGGAGCUUCUGUUAACUUAGGGACUCAGUAGUUUUUAAUGUGCCCUAGUAAAUUGGAUUAUAGCUUUUAAGAAUCCGGAAUUAUAAGGUGUGAAUAAAAUGAGGCACAUAUCUACUUUGACACUAGAAGUUGACUGCCUUUCUUACCUUGGAAAUGAAAACACUAAACUUUCAAAAUAAUACAUAAAUGAGUUUGGUGUUGGCCAAUGACGAAUAUUUGGUAAGGAUUGGAUUUAACUUGAAAUGCUAACAGCUUUAAAUUUUUUAAAAAGGUUUUCUUAUUUUGGAGGUUACCAGAAGCUCUGAGUAUUUUAUGUUCGUAUUUAAAUGAAACAAACAUUUUCAGAUGUUAUCCAGAAAUCUGCAAGUGUUCUUUUUCUGUUUUAACUCCUUCCUUUUAUCACCUGACUAUCAGGGAAGCGUGGUUGAGGCUGCCCUGACCUGACAUGUCAUGAUGUCGACUUGCUAGGUGGGGUUCGCUGGGGACGAUACCAAUGGAGUUGUUGUAGAUGGUCUUCAUGAAUUGGCGCAUUCACCACCACCCUGCGGCUAACCUGGUAAUGAGGCUCUCUGAACUUAGCUAGGCGGGUCCUUGGAUAGCAGACGCCCAGUCCACCGCUGGGCCCGUGCUCAGUCUUUGCAGCUCGACAGGACCUUCCGGAGCUUGCACUUUGCCUGGCGUUGCCUUCAAGAACCCAGGUCACUUCCACACUACCAUGUUGCUUCAAAGGAAGACUUCAAUGGAGGUGAUUUUGAUAUUGAUACUAAUAAAAAAAUCAUAUUUUUGGUACUGAA